AUACCGUAAUCAUUAUUCGGUUCUAAUGGAAAAUAGCCAUUAGAAGUAAUGGGGAAAGUUUGGCGAAAAUCCAACGCUGUCCCGCAACUGUGAUGGGAAUAUUAAGGUUCUCUCAGUCAGAAUGCCCGCCGAUGUUAAAAAGAUGCA
rnacentral:ncRNA from 2 species